rnacentral:rRNA from 1 species
AGAGUUUGAUCCUGGCUCAGGACAAACGCUGGCGGCGUGCUUAAGCUUAUGCAAGUCGAACGAUUAAAGCUUUCUUCGGAGUGUAUAAAGUGGCGAACGGGUGAGUAACACGUGGGUAACCUACCCUUUAGUGGGGAAUAACAUUUUGAAAGAGAUGCUAAUACCGCAUGAGUUUGCAGAUUCGCAUGUAACUGCAAAGAAAGAUUUAUCGCCAAAGGAUGGGCCCGCGGGCUAUUAGCUAGAUGGUGGGGUAACGGCCUACCAUGGCUACGAUGGCUAGCCGGCCUGAGAGGGCGUACGGCCACACUGGGACUGAGACAAGGCCCAGUCCCCUACGGGAGGCGCAGGCGGGAAUUGUUCAUAAUAGGCGGAAGCCAGAUGACGCGACGCCGCGUGAGGGAAGACUGCCUUUGGGUUGUAAACCUCUGUCGUCAGGGAAGAAUGUUUAGGUUUUUCCUAUUCUGACUGUACCUGACAAGAAAGCCACGGCUAACUACGUGCCAGCAGCCGCGGUAAUACGUAGGUGGCAAGCGUUGUCCGAAAUUACUGGGCGUAAAGGGCGUGUAGGCGGAACUAUAAGUCGGAUGUGAAAUCCCCCGGCUCAACCGGGGAACUGCAUUCGAUACUGUAGUUCUUGAGUACUGGAGAGGAAAGCGGAACUCAUAGUGUAGCGGUAAAAUGCAUAGAUAUUAUGAGGAACACCAGUGGCGAAGGCGGCUUUCUGGUCAGAUACUGACGCUGAUGCGCGAAAGCCAGGGGAGCGAACGGGAUUAGAUACCCCGGUAGUCCUGGCCGUAAACGUUGGGCACUAGGUGUAGGAGGAUCGACCCCUUCUAUGCCGCAGCUAACGCAUUAAGUGCCCCGCCUGGGAAGUACGAUCGCAAGGUUGAAACUCAAAGGAAUUGACGGGUCCCCGCACAAGCGGUGGAGCAUGUUGCUUAAUUCGAUUCAACGCGAAGAACCUUACCCGGACUUGACAUGCAGUUGCCGAUCUGUGAAAGCAGAUUUUCCUUCGGGACGGCUGUACAGGUGCUGCAUGGCUGUCGUCAGCUCGUGUCGUGAGAUGUUGGGUUAAGUCCCGCAACGAGCGCAACCCUCGUCAUUAGUUGCCAGCACGUAAAGGUGGGGACUCUAAUGAGACUGCCGGUGAUAAACCGGAGGAAGGCGAGGACGACGUCAAGUCAUCAUGCCCCUUACGUCCGGGGCUGCAAACGUGCUACAAUGGCUGGUACAACGGGAAGCAAUACCGCGAGGUGGAGCAAAUCCUCAAAGCCAGCCUCAGUUCGGAUUAGAGUCUGCAACUCGACUCUAUGAAGUUGGAAUCGCUAGUAAUCGCGGAUCAGCACGCCGCGGUGAAUACGUUCCCGGGCCUUGUAC